UACGGAGGAUGCAAGCGUUAUCCGGAUUCACUGGGUUUAAAGGGUGCGUAGGCGGGCAGGUAAGUCAGAGGUGAAAUCUCCGGGCUCAACCCGGAAACUGCCUUUGAUACUAUCUGUCUUGAAUAUGGUGGAGGUAAGCGGAAUAUGUCAUGUAGCGGUGAAAUGCUUAGAGAUGACAUAGAACACCUAUUGCGAAGGCAGCUUACUACGCCUAUAUUGACGCUGAGGCACGAAAGCGUGGGGAUCAAACAGG
rnacentral:rRNA from 1 species